AAGUGGCUUUUUAGGCUGUCAUUCAGGUUACAACACACUAUGUGUCAUAAACUGGGAAAAUUGACAUGUACAGAAUAUGAAUGAUGGGGGCAUGUUGAAAAUAUCCUUAUAUGUUCAUUCAUAUUCUAGACUGCUUAUUUAUUGGGCUUAUGUUGUUGUUGGGCCCGGUCAAGUUAUAACUAAUACAAGCUGGGCUUGUGAUUAAUUCAUUCGGUUAUAACAACUUCUAAAUGCAUCAGUGUUAUUGUUUUAAGUUCAAGGGUGUAAUAUGAAACUUCUCAGGGGUUCCGAUCAUAUGUGAUGAUUUAUGUGGGUGCAAAGUGUAAAUGUAUUUUUGCAGGUGUAUAAAAGGCCUCUUGUGAGCUAGGGUUUCUGGAACGUUCAUUCAUCUUAUCUCACACUCUCUAACUUUGGGGUUUUUGUUCAUACCAGUUGAAGACGAAUCAAGUUGAAGACGAAUCAAGGUCUGUUCGUUUUAGUUGAUGUUCGUUUGAUCUGCUGGUGAUAUGUCGAAGAUUUAGUGAAGAUUAAUCUCUUCGUCUGUUUAGUAUUAUUUUCCAGAUCUUGCAAAUCUUCUUUGUUCAGGUUGUAACAUUUCAUUCUAGUUGUUUUUUGUUUUGAUUAAUCAACUGAUCGUUAUCAGUUGAUUGUGAACUUUGUAUUGUUCGUUUUUCUGAUCUUACAGUUCUGUAAGAUCUUGGGUGGUUUGGGUGUUUUUCGGGUUGGUAAAGAUAAUAAAAGUUACGUCAUGUUUUGUCGCUUCCUCUGUGUUCUUUGUUAUUUCUGUGUUUGUGCUGUAUAUUUUAUACCAUUUUGUCAUGGUAUCAGAGCUAAUAGCUCAUGAGUCUGAUUUAUGGGAUUUCCGCUGUGCGUUGAGUUCGUUUUUUGGUUUGUCCUUGUCUCGUUUUUUUUAAUCCGUUUCUUGUAGUGUGUACAGGUACAGAUCUGGUGGUUCAUAGUUCGGAAUCAAGAUUGGAUAGUUUUUUGUUUUUAUUAGAUUUGAUGAUCUGGAAAGGGUUUUGAUCAGAAAAUUGGGAAUUUUGAUUCUGUUCGAUUAUUCUCUUGGGUUGUGUUGAAAUUGUGGAUCUGUUUUUGGUGUUAUUUGUGAGUGAAAAAAAAAAAACCUAAAAAUUAGGGUUUCGUUCAUUUUUUUUUCUUGUGCAAACUCCUCGGUUCCAAUAUCUGACCAUUCAAUUUUUUGUUUUGUUUUGUUUCAAUCAUCAUUUUUUAACUCAUCAUCCAUAAGAAAGGUUAUCCUUUAUUCGUUCGAGCUUUAACAAAUGUAAUCUGCACUCUGUAUGUAGUGUUUCUGUUACUGUUGAUAGUCUUGGUGCUGCUUAUGGUCUCUUUUGUUUUUCGUUGUUUCCAGCCAGUGGUUCGAUUUUCUUGUCUUUUUUGUCGCCGGAGUUGUUCUGGUCGCUCAGUGGACCUUGUCUGUUCAUGUCACCUGGAGUUUCUUGACCCGUGGUUGUGUGCGGAGAUGAGAAAUGUGGGAACUAGAUCUGAUCGGGUUUUUUGGGUGAAAGAGUGCUUUGUAGACUGCUCGUUAAGAUCUAAGUCCGUGCUUAUGGUUCUUGAUAUUAAAAGUCAAGGUUAGACAUGUUGUUUACCAGAUCUGAAGGUGUUCUUCGGAGAUCCACAAUCCACCAAAAGAACUAUUCACAGGGAAUCAUGAGAAACUUGUUACAGAAGGCCUGUGUGGUGUUACAAGAUCAGGUUAUUUCUCUUCAUUUUUGGUGUUAAGGUUGCUUAAAAAUCUCAUAACCCUUAGUGAAGGUGUUUUUACCUCUGUUGGAUUAAGCACUGUGAGAUCUUCCUUAUUCCUUUUUUAUUUUUUGUCACACGCUUUUGUAUUGUUAGGCAUAUCUUGGCUGGGUUAGGUGGACCAACAAUUGGAUUAGAUAACAGGGUGUGUCAUAUCCUGUUCUUAUGUGUUUGUAUAUACAUGUUGCAUUUCUUUGUGAUUGUUAUAGUUACAGUUGAUCACAUUAAACACUUAUUAUAUGUUCAUCAUUUGUGUGAUAAGUUUUUAUCGAUUGUGUGUUUGCAUCAACUUUAAUUAAUCCUUGAUAUGCCACACUGAGUUGUGUAACUACCUGCAUCUUGUUCUGGUUGAUUUAUUGAGUAUGCUAUUUGUACCUUCAUACUAUAGUUGGAGGAUUUUGUUGAUAACAAUUGACAACUAUAUUAUAUGGGUCAAUAAUAUGAAUUUAACUUGCAAGUUAAAAGAAAAUUAGCUUUAUUGAUAGGACAUGCUUUAAAUCUCCCAAGAUGAGGUAUUUUUACUAGACAAUGGGAAAUAUAUUUUAUGUUCUCUCGUGUGAUUCUCUCAAAACGUUUUCAUUGUUAUAGAUUCAUUUUUGUUGAAUUGGCUGAUAUCAUUAAAUUGAAAGGUUGAUAUCUAUGAUGAUUCUAAGUGAUUAUUCAUGAGGAUUGAGCAUAUUUGGUUUUGUUUUCCUGUUAGAUCUAGUUGUGUGAGCUAUAAGUUUUUUGUUGAGACUUUCAGUUUGUUUUGGUCAUAUUUAGUCAUGUAUAUCGUUCAGUUUCAGUUGCGUUUCUAAGUGUUAGGGUUUGGUGUUAAUUGGUGAAAUAUAUCAGAUCUUGAAUUUCGAUUUUACAAGAUUGUUGAUCCUUAUUAAUUCUACAUGUAUUUGGAACUGGUAUAGUAUAUUGUGUUGAAUUUCCGUUGUUGUCUUGUGUUCAGAUCAGUUGUUUGGUUUCUUCUUCUUGUCUGUUCUUUUUUUUAGCGAUUGCAGGUAAAGAUCUUGUAAGAUCUGUUUGGAUUUGGAUUUUGUGAGACGCAAUCUAUUUGAUGUUUGGAUACCUGCAAAGUCUUGUAACAGUAGUUUGGUGCUGAAGAAGGAGUUCUUCUAUCGAUUGCUUAUUGAAGACCUGUGUUGGUCUCUAAAACCCUUGAAGGUUUUAGGGCAAACCAACCAGAGAUAUUUUGCUGUGACUUGGCUAGUUUUUUGUAGUUCUUGAAAACUACAGUUGUGAUCUCUAUUGAUAUUAUACGCACCCUCUUUGAAGACGAAUCAAGUUGAAGACGAAUCAAGGUCUGUUCGUUUUAGUUGAUGUUCGUUUGAUCUGCUGGUGAUAUGUCGAAGAUUUAGUGAAGAUUAAUCUCUUCGUCUGUUUAGUAUUAUUUUCCAGAUCUUGCAAAUCUUCUUUGUUCAGGUUGUAACAUUUCAUUCUAGUUGUUUUUUGUUUUGAUUAAUCAACUGAUCGUUAUCAGUUGAUUGUGAACUUUGUAUUGUUCGUUUUUCUGAUCUUACAGUUCUGUAAGAUCUUGGGUGGUUUGGGUGUUUUUCGGGUUGGUAAAGAUAAUAAAAGUUACGUCAUGUUUUGUCGCU